rnacentral:misc_RNA from 1 species
GGGAUGAAGACUUCUUAUUUUUAUGUCUCUUAAGAAAAUGCUCUUCUCCACAGUGUUUAGGGGUGCGCAAAGCAGUAAAAAGUGACGAAGUCCCACUUUAAGGGAAGCGCUCGCUUCAUUGAAGUGAAGCACAAUUUAAAAGAACACAGACCAAAAUAAACAGAGGAAAGUAUACAAGCAAAAUUUCAUAAACUAAAAGAAGGUUCCACUUCAGUUGUCUUGUCAUACAACAAACAUACAAUUGUUAUCCAAUUGGUCUUACUAACUUUUUUUCCUCAUUUUCAUGCCGG